rnacentral:piRNA from 1 species
UCCUCUUGCUCCAGCAACCUCUUCCUGCUC